GCCUGGGUGGCUCAGUGGUUGAGCGUCUGCCUUUGGCUCAGGUCAUGAUCCCGGGGUCCUGGGAUCGAGUCCCACAUCGGGCU
rnacentral:tRNA from 1 species